rnacentral:rRNA from 1 species
GACGAACGCUGGCGGCGUGCCUAAUGCAUGCAAGUCGAGCGGGCUACGAUCUUCGGAUUGUAGCUUAGCGGCGGACGGGUGAGUAACACGUGGGCAACCUGCCUCAUAGAGGGGAAUAGCCUUCCGAAAGGAAGAUUAAUACCGCAUAAGAUUGUAGCUUCGCAUGAAGUAGCAAUUAAAGGAGCAAUCCGCUAUGAGAUGGGCCCGCGGCGCAUUAGCUAGUUGGUGAGGUAACGGCUCACCAAGGCGACGAUGCGUAGCCGACCUGAGAGGGUGAUCGGCCACAUUGGGACUGAGACACGGCCCAGACUCCUACGGGAGGCAGCAGUGGGGAAUAUUGCACAAUGGGGGAAACCCUGAUGCAGCAACGCCGCGUGAGUGAUGACGGCCUUCGGGUUGUAAAGCUCUGUCUUCAGGGACGAUAAUGACGGUACCUGAGGAGGAAGCCACGGCUAACUACGUG